CCUACGGGUGGCAGCAGUGGGGAAUAUUGCGCAAUGGGCGAAAGCCUGACGCAGCGACACCGCGUGAGGGAUGAAGGUCUUCGGAUCGUUAACCUCUGUCAGUAGGGAAGAACGGUUACUGUGCUAAUCAGCAGUGAAUUGACGGUACCUGCAAAGGACGGAUCGGCUAACUCCGUGCCAGCAGCCGCGGUAAUACGGAGGGUGCGAGCGUUAUUCGGAAUUACUGGGCGUAAAGGGCUCGUAGGUGGUAUGUCAAGUCAAGGGUGAAAUCCCCGGGCUCAACGUGGGAAUUGCCUUUGAAACUGGAAGACUGGAGUGUGUGAGAGGAUAGUGGAAUUCCAGGUGUAGGAGUGAAAUCCAUAGAUAUCUGGAGGAACAUCGAUGGCGAAGGCAACUAACUGGCACAUAACUGACGCUGAGGAGCGAAAGCGUGGGUAGCAAACAGGAUUAGAUACCCGUGUAGUC
rnacentral:rRNA from 1 species